CCCUUAGAGUUUGAUCCUGGCUCAGAUUGAACGCUGGCGGAAUGCUUUACACAUGCAAGUCGAACGGCAGCACGGGGGCAACCCUGGUGGCGAGUGGCGAACGGGUGAGUAAUACAUCGGAACGUGCCCAGUCGUGGGGGAUAACUACGCGAAAGCGUAGCUAAUACCGCAUACGAACUCUGGUUGAAAGCGGGGGUUCGCAAGACCUCGCGCGAUUGGAGCGGCCGAUGGCAGAUUAGGUAGUUGGUGGGGUAAAGGCUCACCAAGCCGACGAUCUGUAGCUGGUCUGAGAGGACGACCAGCCACACUGGGACUGAGACACGGCCCAGACUCCUACGGGAGGCAGCAGUGGGGAAUUUUGGACAAUGGGCGCAAGCCUGAUCCAGCCAUUCCGCGUGCAGGAUGAAGGCCCUCGGGUUGUAAACUGCUUUUGUACGGAACGAAAAAGCCUUCUCUAAUACAGAGGGUCCAUGACGGUACCGUAAGAAUAAGCACCGGCUAACUACGUGCCAGCAGCCGCGGUAAUACGUAGGGUGCAAGCGUUAAUCGGAAUUACUGGGCGUAAAGCCUG
rnacentral:rRNA from 1 species